rnacentral:rRNA from 1 species
CAGUAGCCGCGGGAAUACGUAGGGUGCAAGCGUUAAUCGGAAUUACUGGGCGUAAAGGGUGCGUAGGCGGGUCUUUAAGUCAGGGGUGAAAUCCUGGAGCUCAACUCCAGAACUGCCUUUGAUACUGAAGAUCUUGAGUUCGGGAGAGGUGAGUGGAACUGCGAGUGUAGAGGUGAAAUUCGUAGAUAUUCGCAAGAACACCAGUGGCGAAGGCGGCUCACUGGCCCGAUACUGACGCUGAGGCACGAAAGCGUGGGGAGCAAACAGGAUUAGAUACCCGAGUAGUCCCUGUCUCUUAUAC